rnacentral:misc_RNA from 1 species
GUAGGUGAACCUGCGGAAGGAUCAUUAACACAUCUCUUUUUUUCUCUCUCUUUCGAGAGGGAAAGAAAUUUACCCCACUUUGGAUGAAUUUUAUUGCUGGAGGGUUGCUUUGUGUUGCAUUCUUUCUUCAAGAUAGAAUCUUCACAGUGCAAUUCCUUUUGCAAACUUUAUUACCCCAUCAUUUUAAACCCAAACCAUUUUAUUACUGUCAUACAUUGGACUGAUAUGAAAAUCUGUUUUCAUGGUUUCA